rnacentral:lncRNA from 1 species
GAAGGAGGGAUUACGCUAACCGUAGUAGAAAUCAAAGGAGAAGGAAGAAUUACAUGAUCAUAUUGAUGGUGUCCCUCAGAUCUCAUAGCUAAUAUGGCCAUCACCGACGACCCUAGAAAAUGGUUUUAGCUCCAAGCCACCAGAUCAACAAAACUGCAAGACAAAGACGGCUUGAGGCUAAAACCAGUCAUCAAUCGUCUUUGGACCU